rnacentral:rRNA from 1 species
AUUGAACGCUGGCGGCAGGCCUAACACAUGCAAGUCGAGCGGAUGAAGGGAGCUUGCUCCUGGAUUCAGCGGCGGACGGGUGAGUAAUGCCUAGGAAUCUGCCUGGUAGUGGGGGAUAACGUCUGGAAACGGGCGCUAAUACCGCAUACGUCCUGAGGGAGAAAGUGGGGGAUCUUCGGACCUCACGCUAUCAGAUGAGCCUAGGUCGGAUUAGCUAGUUGGUGGGGUAAAGGCCUACCAAGGCGACGAUCCGUAACUGGUCUGAGAGGAUGAUCAGUCACACUGGAAGUGAGACACGGUCCAGACUCCUACGGGAGGCAGCAGUGGGGAAUAUUGGACAAUGGGCGAAAGCCUGAUACAGCCAUGCCGCGUGUGUGAAGAAGGUCUUCGGAUUGUAAAGCACUUUAAGUUGGGAGGAAGGGCAGUAAGUUAAUACCUUGCUGUUUUGACGUUACCAACAGAAUAAGCACCGGCUAACUUCGUG